UGGACAGUUAUAGGCUGAGAUAAUGAU
rnacentral:sRNA from 1 species